rnacentral:rRNA from 1 species
UACAGAGGGUGCGAGCGUUGUCCGGAAUCACUGGGCGUAAAGGGCGCGUAGGCGGCCUGAUAAGUCGGGGGUGAAAUCCUGUGGCUCAACCGCAGGGCUGCCUCCGAGACUGUCGGGCUCGAGCACAGUAGAGGCAGGUGGAAUUCCCGGUGUAGCGGUGGAAUGCGUAGAGAUCGGGAAGAACAUCGGUGGCGAAGGCGGCCUGCUGGGCUGUUGCUGACGCUGAGGCGCGACAGCGUGGGGAGCAAACAGG